rnacentral:rRNA from 1 species
AGGACGAACGCUGGCGGCGUGCUUAACACAUGCAAGUCGAGCGGAAAGGCCCUUCGGGGUACUCGAGCGGCGAACGGGUGAGUAACACGUGAGCAACCUGCCCUUAGCUUCGGGAUAGCUCCGGGAAACCGGAAUUAAUACCGGAUAUGACUAUGGCCGACAUCAGCCAUGGUGGAAAGUUUUUCGGCUAGGGAUGGACUCGCGGCCUAUCAGCUAGUUGGUGAGGUAACGGCUCACCAAGGCGACGACGGGUAGCCGGCCUGAGAGGGCGACCGGCCACACUGGGACUGAGACACGGCCCAGACUCCUACGGGAGGCAGCAGUGGGGAAUAUUGCGCAAUGGGCGAAAGCCUGACGCAGCGACGCCGCGUGGGGAUGAAUGCUUCGGUUGUAACCCCUUUCAGCAGGGACGAAGCGAAGUGACGGUACCUGCAGAAGAAGCGCCGGCUAACUACGUGCCAGCAGCCGC